CAAUGUGCCUAGACCAUCGACAAAUAUACAACGAUAAAGAAAAAGCAACGUUAUUCGAUAUUGCUAUUGUAUAAGACGGCCAGAAUGUCUACACCAAACGAUCAAAAAGAAUGGGAGUUGAAAUAUUUUAAAGUACUGAAGAAUUUUCACGCACGAUGUAAAUUGUGUCCACGUUAUAAAUCAAUCAUUUUGAUGUACCGAAAUAUGGGCAAUGUGCAUCAUCAUUUCAGCAAAUAUCACCCAAAUGUAGACAAAAGUAAAAAACUUUAUCAGAAAUGGCAGCAUUUUAAUAAAAUUAACGAUUCGCGCAUGAAAUGUAAUACUUGUCAUCGCAGUUAUUCGAUUACAUCAAGUACAGCAUGGAAGAUACAUUUAUCUAAGAAACAUAAAAUACAUAUAAAUAUAGAAAAAAACUUACAAACGAGUUUUACAUGGAACCAUAUUCAAGAGUUUGAUGAAGAUAAAGAUUAUGUAAAGUGUCUUAAGUGCGAUUGUAUGAUUAAACUUGCUCCUGAAUGCUUUACAUGCUCAUAUGUACAAGAAACAUUUUGAUAUUUUAAUAAAAGAACAAUCUCCACAAGAAGAAAUUUAUAUACCUGGGCCAUCAACAAGUGCACAACAUUAAAGAAAAAAUAACGAUUUGACAAAGGUUCUAUACACGCACCACGACCAGCAGUAGUAACAAUCUUAAUGUUACAAUCUGUGUAACAAUCUGUGACGAUUUAAGUGAUUUACAGUACCUGAAGAGAAUGUCAUAUCUAUGAUAUGU